UACGUAGGGGGCAAGCGUUGUUCGGAUUUACUGGGCGUAAAGGGCGCGUAGGCGGUCGUGACAAGUCACUUGUGAAAUCUCCGGGCUUAACUCGGAACGGUCAAGUGAUACUGUCGGACUAGAGUACAGAAGGGGCAACUGGAAUUCUCGGUGUAGCGGUGAAAUGCGUAGAUAUCGAGAGGAACACCUGCGGCGAAGGCGGGUUGCUGGGCUGAUACUGACGCUGAGGCGCGAAAGCCAGGGGAGCGAACGGGG
rnacentral:rRNA from 1 species